CUACCUGCAGUCGACGAGGCCACUCUUUCGGGAGUGAGUCGAGUGGCGGACGGGUGAGUAACACGUGAGCAAUCUACCCUUGUACGGGGGAUAACCCAGGGAAACUUGGGCUAAUACCGCAUGGUUAAGAGAUCCUCAGGGGUCUUUUAGAAAACGUGGCCUCUUUACAAUGCUACGGUGCAGGGAGGAGCUCGCGGGCUAUCAGCUAGUUGGUGAGGUAACGGCUCACCAAGGCAGCGACGGCUACGGGGUCUGAGAGGACGACCCCGCACAUUGGAACUGAGACACGGUCCAGACUCCUACGGGAGGCAGCAGUGGGGAAUUUUGGGCAAUGGCCGAAAGGCUGACCCAGCGACGCCGCGUGCGGGAGGAAGCCCUUCGGGGUGUAAACCGCUGUCAGGGGGGACGAAAGCGUUCUCGGUAAACAAUCGGGAGCAGUGACGGUACCCUCAAAGGAAGCACCGGCUAACUCUGUGCCAGCAGCCGCGGUAAUACAGAGGGUGCAAGCGUUGUUCGGAAUUACUGGGCGUAAAGCGCGCGCAGGCGGAUCUGGUAAGUCUGAAGUGAAAUCUCACCGCUCAACGGUGAGGCUGCUUUGGAUACUGCGGAUCUGGAGACCGGUAGAGGCUGGUGGAAUUGCAUGUGUAGCGGUGGAAUGCGUAGAGAUCUGCAAGAACACCCGUGGCGAAGGCGGCCAGCUGGGCCGGUUCUGACGCUUAANGCGCGAAAAGCUUGGGGAGCAAACAGGAUUAGAUACCCUGGGUAUUCCACGCCUUAAAACGAUUGGGCACUAGGUGCUGGGGGGGAAGCGACCCCUCUCCAGUGCCGUUAUCAUAACCCCAAAAAAUGCC
rnacentral:rRNA from 1 species